rnacentral:misc_RNA from 1 species
GAUGAAGAACGUAGCGAAAUGCGACAAGUAAUGCGAAUUGCAGAAUUCAGUGAAUCAUCGAAUCUUUGAACGCACAUUGCGCCCGCCAGUAUUCUGGCGGGCAUGCCUGUCUGAGCGUCGUUUCGACCCUCGCGCCCGGCUUCUGUCGGGGGCGGUGUUGGGGAUCGGCCACACCCUUCAGUGGGAGGCCGGCCCCUAAAUUCAGUGGCGACCACGCUGUAGCCUCCCCUGCGUAGUACUAAAACCACCUCGCAGGCGGAGAGCGGUGCGGCCCGCCGUAAAACCCCCCAACUUUUACAAGGUCGACCUCAGAUCAGGUAGGAAUACCCGCUGAACUUAAGCAUAUCAAUAAGCGGAGGA